UGUGGACACACCAGACUCAGAGGAGGCAAAAGAGUCAUCACUGAUCUUCCCUCUUGAUUUGAAAAAAGAAAAUGUGGACACACCAGACUCAGAGGAGGCAAAAGAGUCAUCACUGAUCUUCCCUCUUGAUUUAAAAAAAGAAAAAUUGAAGAAACGGAGGUCACAGCCCAGCGAACAUUUGAGCAUCAAGUCUGGCCAGUCCCUUGAAAACCCAU